rnacentral:rRNA from 1 species
CCUACGGGGGGCUGCAGUGGGGAAUUUUGGACAAUGGGCGCAAGCCUGAUCCAGCCAUGCCGCGUGAGUGAAGAAGGCCUUCGGGUUGUAAAGCUCUUUCGGCCGGGAAGAAAUCGGCGACUCUAACAUAGUCGCUGGAUGACGGUACCGGACUAAGAAGCACCGGCUAACUACGUGCCAGCAGCCGCGGUAAUACGUAGGGUGCGAGCGUUAAUCGGAAUUACUGGGCGUAAAGCGUGCGCAGGCGGUUUUGUAAGACAGAUGUGAAAUCCCCGGGCUUAACCUGGGAACUGCGUUUGUGACUGCAAGGCUAGAGUACGGCAGAGGGGGGUGGAAUUCCUGGUGUAGCAGUGAAAUGCGUAGAGAUCAGGAGGAACACCGAUGGCGAAGGCAGCCCCCUGGGCCUGUACUGACGCUCAUGCACGAAAGCGUGGGGAGCAAACAGGAUUAGAUACCCCGGUAGUC